rnacentral:rRNA from 1 species
UAGGGAAUCUUCCGCAAUGGGCGAAAGCCUGACGGAGCAACGCCGCGUGAGUGAUGAAGGUCUUCGGAUCGUACAACUCUGUUAUUAGGGAAGAACAAAUGUGUAAGUAACUAUGCACGUCUUGACGGUACCUAAUCAGAAAGCCCCGGCUAACUACGUGCCAGCAGCCGCGGUAAUACGUAGGUGGCAAGCGUUAUCCGGAAUUAUUGGGCGUAAAGCGCGCGUAGGCGGUUUUUUAAGUCUGAUGUGAAAGCCCACGGCUCAACCGUGGAGGGUCAUUGGAAACUGGAAAACUUGAGUGCAGAAGAGGAAAGUUGAAUUCCAUGUGUAGCGGUGAAAUGCGCAGAGAUAUGGAGGAACACCAGUGGCGAAGGCGACUUUCUGGUCUGUAACUGACGCUGAUGUGCGAAAGCGUGGGGAUCAAACAGG